rnacentral:rRNA from 1 species
CCUACGGGCGGCAGCAGUCGAGAAUCAUUCACAAUGGGGGAAACCCUGAUGGUGCGACGCCGUGUGGGGGAAUGAAGGUCUUCGGAUUGUAAACCCCUGUCAUGUGGGAGCAAAUUAAAAAGAUCGUACCACAAUAGGAAGAGACGGCUAACUCUGUGCCAGCAGCCGCGGUAAUACAGAGGUCUCAAGCGUUGUUCGGAAUCACUGGGCGUAAGGCGUGCGUAGGCUGUUUCGUAAGUCGUGUGUGAAAGGCGCGGGCUCAACCCGCGGACGGCACAUGUUACUGCGGGACUAGAGGAAUGGGGGGGGAACCGGAAUUCUCGGUGUAGCAGUGAAAGGCGUAGAUAUCGAGAGGAACACUCGUGGCGAAGGCGGGUUCCUGGACAUUAACGGACGCUGAGGCACGAAGGCCAGGGGAGCGAAAGGGAUUAGAUACCCCUGUAGUC